GAUGAACGCUAGCGGCAGGCUUAACACAUGCAAGUCGAGGGGCAGCAUGAGACGGAGAUUCGUCGAAGUCUUGAUGGCGACCGGCGCAAGGGUGCGUAACGCGUGAGCAACUUGCCCGUUUCAGGGGGAUAACCGGUGGAAACGCCGACUAAUACCCCAUAGCAUCAACUUUAGGCAUCUUUAGUUGAUUAAAGAAUUUCGGAAACGGAUAGGCUCGCGUGACAUUAGCUAGAUGGCGGGGUAACGGCCCACCAUGGCGACGAUGUCUAGGGGUUCUGAGAGGAAGGUCCCCCACACUGGAACUGAGACACGGUCCAG
rnacentral:rRNA from 1 species